ensembl:lncRNA
AAUGUACUUUUUUUUUUUUUUUAAUUUAUCUAAUAUCUCACAACAAUAAGAACAUGGAUUUGUGCCUGUAGAAAUCUUGGAUGGCUGGUGAGAGAAGCCAGCGGUGGCAGAGACGCAGACUCUGGUCUUAACACUCUUCCCGCUGUGAGCUUUGAUUGACACUUCUGUCAUCUGAAUUCUUUAGCAUGGCAAAUGUUCUCAACCUAAACCCUGUUUUGUCUGUCAUCAUAAUUUAUUUAAUCAUAUUUUACCAUACCUUUCACCCUUCCCCCAUCCCCUCUUGCCACAGAUACACACUUUUUUCUCUCUCUCUUUCUGCUCCAUAACGUAAACUAGGCUUUUUUGUGUCGCAUUUAUCAAAGGAACGGCCGGGUGAUGUGAAUUAAGACAGAUUAUUGGUCAAUAAUUCAGAAGAUGCCAUAGAUGAACUAGACCCACCAGACCACCUGAUGCUGGAGUGAAGAUCUGGGAUGUUGCCUGAAGAUGCGGUGAGGGAAACGCCGGCCGAUGUGUGUAAACGGGAAGCUGUCCAGAGCAGGAACAUCACACACACUCCAGCCCCAGGCAAAAGAAUGGGCUGAAAUAUUUUUAAACAGUAAUUACCUGGCCGGGAUCCGACAGAGGGGGAUUAAUGGAGGAACGCGGAGCAUCAGGUUCCAGAGAUGUGUGCUGGAAGCACAAGUCAUCAGCUCACGCCAAGCCCUUCACAAACCAACAGCAGCCAUUUAGUCUUUCAAAUCCAGUCUGGGAGAUGUUUCAGGAUUUCCUUUUUUCUUUUUCUUUUUUCUUUUUUUUCUGGUGGUGGUUAAAUUAACUAUAUUUGGUGCUAGUCAACUCUCAGUGUGGACUUUACAUUUCUUGGAGUGAUAAUCUACAUUGACUUUCAGAAAUUAGUUGCAACUGCAAAGCAGCUUUUGAGGUCUUGGUCUUUUUGACUGAAUAUUAUGGAAGCCCGUUUCUGCCACUAAAUAAAACAUUUAGGGCCCUAUCA